ACGAGGGUUUGAAGAUUCGGACCCAUCUGCCAGGGAUGGUAGAUUAAAAAUUGGGUGAAUUGCAAGAAGCCUACGUAUGAAAAGUCAUAUAUGGUAAUUUGCAGCCAAGCUUCAGGGAAGACUGAAGAAGGUUCAGAGACUAGGGACACUAAGGUGAGCCCACAGCGCCCAACACCUGGAACAGGUGAUGACAUAGUCCGAUCCCAGAAGAAAUUCUGGA
rnacentral:ncRNA from 1 species